GCCUCGGUGGCUUAGGGGUUAUAGCGUCUGCUUCGUAAGCAGGUGAUCGCGGGUUCGAAUCCCGCCCGGGGCU
rfam:Thorarchaeota archaeon SMTZ-45 WORSMTZ_29671, whole genome shotgun sequence.